GUACUUCAGUAGCACACAUACUAAAAUUGGAAAGAUACAGAGAGGUUUAGCAUGUCCCCUGCACAAAGACAAUGUGCAAAUUUCUAAAGUAUUCCACAAAUGC
rnacentral:snRNA from 1 species